UACGUAGGGUGCGAGCGUUAAUCGGAAUUACUGGGCGUAAAGCGUGCGCAGGCGGUUAUGUAAGACAGGUGUGAAAUCCCCGGGCUUAACCUGGGAACUGCAUUUGUGACUGCAUAGCUAGAGUACGGUAGAGGGGGAUGGAAUUCCGCGUGUAGCAGUGAAAUGCGUAGAUAUGCGGAGGAACACCGAUGGCGAAGGCAAUCCCCUGGACCUGUACUGACGCUCAUGCACGAAAGCGUGGGGAGCGAACAGG
rnacentral:rRNA from 1 species